ACCCCGGAUGGGAGGCUGGACCGGUGAAUGUGUGUGAGAGAUGCAGUGUCCUGGAUUUGGGCUUCUUUUCCCUUUGUGCAGCAGGCCUGUGAUCCCGGAUAAUCCCCUUGCCUUGGGUCAUGGCGACAUUGGAGAUAGUGCAACUGGCAUCCUCCCCACUGGCUGUGCAGUUGGGCAGAGGCUGUGCUUGGGAUUCACAAUUGACCACAGCGCAGUGACCACUCCAGCCCAUCCCUAUGGCGGCUCCCCUCCCGUGGCUCGCCCUUCUGCACCAAAUGAGCUUCUGGGCGCUCCGCCAGCUCGUAUCCGGCAGCCUCUUGUCGGCCCAGGAGCGCUUUGGACUCAAAUGCCUCCAAUGGGACUUCAGGUGUGCCUCGGGCCGGAAAGGCCUCGCAGAGAGAGGGGUGGAGCCUAACUUGCCCCCUCCCAGAGCCCAACAGUUUGCGUGGAACCCCGAUAUAAACCCUUUAACGCAGAGUCAUCAAAACAACCCUAGGAAAAAUAGCAGCUUCACAGGUUUGGAUCCUGGCAGACAGCUCCGUAACUAGGAAUGGAGGUUAAAAUCACCAGCAGUGAGUCACCGUGACAUCAUAAGCCCCGGGUAUGAGAAGGGAACAUCACCUCUCUGGUAUCCUUCCCAGUAAUGUGAAAACCUCAAUCUAACCGACAUAAACCAAACUGAGAGGGUCUACACAGUCACUGGCGGGCUCUCUUCAAGAGCGUCUGAUCAUGAACGACUGAGACUCUGUCACCGACUGGAGGAGUCCAAGGAGACAUGACAACAUAAUGCAAUGAGAUCUUGGAUUGGGUCCUGGAACAGUAAAAGGACCAGCAGAAAACCUGGAGAAAGCCAAAUCAAGUCUGUAGUUUAUUAAUAGUAUUGUACCAAGGUUAAGUUCUUAGUUUUAAGAAAUGUAUUAUGGUUAUGUAAGAUGUUAGCACUGGGGGCAGCAAGGUGAAGGGUAUAUGGGAACUCAGUGCUAUUUUUGCAACUUUUCUGUAAGUCUAAAAUUAUCUCAAAAUAAAAAGUUAAAAAAUAAACCUAGGAAACAGG